rnacentral:misc_RNA from 1 species
GCGCGGGGGGAGGUUUCCUUCUUUUUUCACCUGAUUUUGGGUGUGUGUGUCCCCCCAAAUUGUUGGAUAAAAAAAAAUCUUUAGGCGUCUUGCUAUUGAGACUUCAGUGUCCCCUUCGUCUAGAGGCCCAGGACACCGCCCUUUCACGGCGGUAACAGGGGUUCGAAUCCCCUAGGGGACGCCACUUGCUGGUUCGCGAGUGAAAGUCACCUGCCUUAAUAUCUCAAAACUCAUCUUCGGGUGACGUUUGAGAUAUUUGCUUCUUUAAAAAUCUGGAUCAAGCUGAAAAUUGAAACGACACACAUGUUAUGGGUGUUCGAGUCUCUCAAAUUUUCGCAAUUUGAUGGUGAAUCGAAAGAAACAUCUUCGGGUUGUGAGGGUAAGCGACUAAGCGUACACGGUGGUUUGUCGUCACAAAAUUUCC